UACGGGGGGAGCAAGCGUUGUUCGGAAUCACUGGGCUUAAAGGGCGCGUAGGCGGGCAAGCAAGUCAGGGGUGAAAUCCCACGGCUCAACCGUGGAAGGGCCUUUGAUACUGCGUGUCUGGAGGGAGGUAGGGGCGUGCGGAACUUCCGGUGGAGCGGUGAAAUGCGUAGAUAUCGGAAGGAACACCGGUGGCGAAAGCGGCGCGCUGGACCUCUUCUGACGCUGAGGCGCGAAAGCCAGGGGAGCAAACGGG
rnacentral:rRNA from 1 species